rnacentral:rRNA from 1 species
UCUAAGCACAUGCCUUUAUACGGUGAAGCCGCGAAUAGCUCAUUACAACAGCCACCGUUUACUAGAAUAUAGUUAUCCUACUUGGAUAACUGUGGCAAUUCUAGAGCUAAUACAUGCAAAAAAGCUCUGCCCGCAAGGAACGAGCGCAUUUAUUAGAAUAAAAACCAAUCGGGUUUCGGCCCGUAAUUUGGUGAAUCUGAAUAACUUUGCCAAUCGCACAGUCCUAGUACUGGCGAUGUAUCUUUCAAGUGUCUGCCUUAUCAACUUUCGAUGGUAGGUUAUACGCCUACCAUGGUAGUAACGGGUAACGGAGAAUAAGGGUUCGACUCCGGAGAGGGAGCCUGAGAAACGGCUACCACAUCCAAGGAAGGCAGCAGGCGCGCAAAUUACCCACUUCCAGAACGGAGAGGUAGUGACGAAAAAUAACGAGACAGUCCUCUUCGAGGUCUGUCAUCGGAAUGGGUACAAUUUAAA